UGUGGAUAGACCAAAAACCAGAAAGCCAAUUAAGGAAGUUAUAGUAUAUAUCUGUUGUUUUGCCAACGAAUAGCAUUCAUUUUUCUUUUGAUAACUGGACUUCAAGUGCCCUCCAGACUUCAGAGAUGUGGUGCCCAAUAUGGUGGUCACUAGCUGCAUAGGUCAUUAAAUACUGAAACUGAGGGUGAAGAUUACAACAAAGCCUUUCAAGAUACUGGAGUCACAAGGCAGAAGAAGCCUUUGUUGUCAAGGAGAAAAUCUGUCCACAGACCAAGGAGCUCCUGCAACACUUCCUCUUGUGUGUGACUCUGAAACAAACACCAUCUCUCAUCCUGAACAAUUCUUUGGUAAUGUGGAUCCAGGAAGAAUAGCUAGAAAAUUAUCUUGCCCUUUCUUUGGGAAGCUGGUGAUGACCUAAAAUAAGACAGAUCAUGAACCAUGUGUUUGUGAUCUGACCCAGAAACCAAACUGGAAGCCUUAGGAAAGGAACCAUGGGGUAAGAAACAAGCCAGAUGAUGGUUUGGGCAGAAAGACUUCCGUGGCUCAUCAAGAUUCAUCUUUCAACAGAGAUGUGGCCUUGUAAUGAAGUAUUACCAGUGGAAGAUAUAGAAGAAAUGGUAUAC